GUGAACAAUGUUGUGCGGCCAACUAUGAACAAGUUGUCAACCAUGUUGUUCCAAGUUGUUACAGUUGAACAAUGCUGUAACAACAUGUUGACAAUACUGUUCAUAGUGGGCCGCACAACCUUGUUCAC